CCGAAAUCACAUAACCCAUGUCUUUUGGGAUUUAUCGUUUCCGUUUCCAAGUGGUUUAGAAGGUUUUCUUGUGCGUGCCCUGAAUGCUGUGUCGUGGCUCCAGGGUGGUGGCGACCGAACUGGGUUGUGAGGGUUGCCGGGUACUUGCAGAGGGCCUGAAAGACAACAAAACAGUGGUUGACCUCAGGAUGGCCAUCAAUCACAUUGGUGACGUCGGUGUGGGCUGUCUCGCCGAUCUGUUGCAGACCAAUCGCACACUUAAAGAUAUCAGGCUCCGGGACAACCAGGUCACUGAUAAGGGAGCAGAAAUCCUCAUGAAAGCAUUAAAUGAGAAUACAACUCUGGAGCAACUCUGGUUGUUUGACAACAAGUUUUCUAAGGAGGGAGUCAAGAGGCUAAAGGAGUUUGCGAAGGGCAGGUCACAACUGGACAUCAAAGUUUGUGUCUGAAAUCCUGUGCUUCCCCACUGCUUAACAUCGACCCUUCUACUGAACAUAGACCCCACUGUUGAAUAUGGACCCCGCUGCUGAACAUAGACCCCACUGCUGAACAUAGACCCUGCUGCUGAACAUAGACCCCGCUGCUGAACAUAGAUCUUUAUACUGAACAUAGACCCUUCCACUGAACAUAGACCCCAUUGCUGAAAAUAUAUAAUCUCGCUACUUUACAUUGACUCCAAGGGCUUUACCAGGGGUUGAUAAUGCGGUUGUUGAUCAUUUGUGUGUAAAGGGGAUUUUUAGAUGAAUAACAAAGAACAGUUGUUGAUUAAUAGUCAGUCUAAAGCCCUUCUGGGUUAAUACAAGUUCAAGCAGGCAGACCGCCUACAGCAUGGGGUUAUAGAAACAUUUCCAACAAGACUUCUAUGAGUCCACCUUGAUAUUCUUAUCAGGUUAUGUUCUGUUGACACAUGACAGAGGCUGUAACACCAGUGAGUCAAUCAUGCAUACUCACACAAUACAAUAAUAAUCAGUAUGCGUUUUUGAAAUAACACCUUAACACCAGCGCAAAAACCAUCAGCAGAUUUGUCCAGGUGAACAGUCUAGUCCUGGUGAUAGUACUCUAGUGGCUGCUAAACUUCAUGUUAUAUUUUACAGAGAGAAACUGAAAAAUUCAAUGCCAAUCACCGAAUGUGAAUAUCUUGAUAUCAACUUAAUGUAUCUUGUUCCAUUACUUUAUCAUUGGGGUUUUUUGCACACAUUGUUUGAAAGAUUUUGUCACCAUUCAGAUAUUUUUUCAACAGCUGAAAGAUUACAUUUUCUGUUCUGGUAAUAGGUCAAAUAAUAAAUUUGUCUCCAUAAAUGUUUUCCAGUAGUUUGUAUUCCUUUUUUUAAACACCUACCAAUGUAGAACGGUUUUGGUUAUAUAUAACCCUAAUGAAAUGUUUAAGUCAGCACUUCCAGGGCUGGUCCAGCAGAAGGCGUUAUAGACCCGCCCCGGCGUUACCUACAACUCGGAAGUCUACCAGACUGGCGCGGACUGGAAUCAUUUUGCGGUCCAGUUGAUCAUGUUCCCUCUUACAAGGUCGGGCAUUAAUGGUUGACCGUUCACUGAUUGAUUCACUUGUACUAUAUUUCAC
ensembl:lncRNA